GUGCUUGCUUUGGAAGCACAUAUACUAAAAUUGGAACAAUACAGAGAAGAUUAGCCUGACCCCUGUACAGGAUGACAUUCAAAUUCAAGAAGCAUUCCAUAUUUUU
rnacentral:snRNA from 1 species